UCUCAUAUGGCAAUUUCCGUCAAAUUAAAACGAGAUCAGGUCAUAAACUCAAAAUUUUUUAGAGAUCUGUCAACAGAUUCUUAGAUUUUGUGAUCAAAAAGCCACUUCGAUCUCAAACGAGUAAUAUUGUUUUCAAAGUUUAUAGUAAAAUAAAAGAAGACGGUGUAAAUAAAACUCAAUCUUUAAUUUUAAAGCGGGUGCUAAAUAAAGUUAACCGGGGCUACCAGUACUACUACUUAUUCGACGUAACGUAGCCGAGGGUACAUCGAAAGAUGACAUAUUUUCCACACCUGGUUAAAAGAGAUGAAAGGGACAGAAGAAAAUCAACUUGAAAGAAUAAAGAAAUUCUAAACAGUGGAAAUACAUUUCCAACUGUAAUAAAACUGUUACAAAUUCUUCGAUAAGAUAGUGAUAUUAACGCACGUAGAGAAUCUCUCGUGAUUGAUGAGAUUGAGAUGAAUUCGCAUGAGAUUGCGGUAUUCUAUUUCAACCUUUGCAGAUAAAAAUCACGUAGGUAGGUAUAAUCAAAUAUGUAGUAAUAAAAAUAAUCCAUUAUUUCGAGUAGUCCGGAAUGGAUCGCUUCGUUUCUUUAGAUACCUAAAUAAUAAUGUUAUGUCGAAAUAAUAACAUCAAUUCUAAACAAAAGGCCUACUAUUAAAUAUUGAUAAGCCACACUUAGAAGGCGCGGCUCUAAGAAGAUUAAUUCAAAUGAAAAUAAGAUAGCUUUGACGGCAUGGACCGCAAGCAUGAAGUUCAUGAAGCAUGGGCGUGUUAAAUGCUGGAUUUUGAUUGGCUGUUCUUUUGCGUCAUGCUUGUCAGAUAGGAUUACCUUUAUGAUGUUUUGAAGUCCUCUUAAGUGCUGAUGACAAUAAUAUAGAGAUACGGAAGCUGAAUAAACGGUAUUUUUAUACACAA